ensembl:lncRNA
GAACCAUUCAACUUCAGCUUCUUUGGCAUUGUGGUUGGGGCAUAGACUUGGAUUACUGUGAUAUUGAACGGUUUGCCUUGGAAAUGAACAGAGAUCAUCCUGUCCGUUUUGCAAAAUCCCAUAGACAAAGGAGCCUGGCAAGCUACAGUCCUUGGGAUGGCAAGAGUCAGACACGACUUAGCAACUAAACAACGACCACCACCACCACUGUUCAUGGUGUUCUCAAGAGGAAAAGCUCCUGUGAAACUGUCAUCUAUAUGUCAAAAAGUGGAGCUCACAGACCAACUGAAACCACAUGAGAAGACGCUAAGUCCCCAGAAACAACUUUCAUUUUUCUGCCUGCUUCUCGGCUCUGGCCUCUGGAGAAAAGUUCUCGCCUGCCUGCUUCGCUCAAGAGUUUAUCAGGCGGUUCCCCGGGACCCAGAUGGCCCAGCCACUCCUGAACCACCUGAGGAGGGAGUCUCACCAAAGCCUGCAUGGGGCCCCUUCCAGGGCAAGAGAACACGCCUUUUGAGGAUGACGAUCGCCCUCCUCUUCGCGGAGAGCCGCGGUCCUUACACACUCCGAGCUGGGAGUAGGCUCCCCGGCGUCCGGGGAGGGGGCGGUAGCAGGGAUCGGUCUUCCGCACGUUGUAGCUUGGCACCCACUCCCAAUGGCUCAAAAUUCUCCAAACAGCAGAAAGGGCUUGAAAAGAGAUAAAUAAUGACAAC